rnacentral:rRNA from 1 species
UACGAAGGGGACUAGCGUUGUUCGGAUUUACUGGGCGUAAAGCGCGCGUAGGCGGAUCGCUAAGUCAGGGGUGAAAUCCCAGGGCUCAACCCUGGAACUGCCUUUGAUACUGACGAUCUGGAGAUCGGGAGAGGUUGGUGGAAUUCCGAGUGUAGAGGUGAAAUUCGUAGAUAUUCGCAAGAACACCAGUGGCGAAGGCGGCUCACUGGCCCGAUACUGACGCUGAGGUGCGAAAGCGUGGGGAGCAAACAGG